GGCCAGGAGAUCAGCCUUUGGGUUUGUUUUGCACCUGCCUCUUAGGUUUACAGCCCUGCUCCUGCUUGUCACCUCUGCCCAAUUGCUUUUAUGCGUUACUGCUCCUGCCAAGAUUUCCCUGCUUGUAUAGGAGAGAAGAUAUUACAUGUUUUCUUAAAAUAACUGCAGGUGAAGGUUUUAAUGCACGUUGCAGGCACAGAGGGGACAAGUGGCUGCAAGUACAUGUGAGAAGGACCUGUUUUCUUUGCAACUUAGUGUGCUGAAAUAAAAAUUGUUGACUACUUUCCCAUGUCACAGUUCAGGCAGAAGGUUGGAAGUCUGAGAUUAGUUUAAGUGAGUUUAACUUCCUGAAAUUGGAUUUUUCCUGUUAACCAACUUUGGUUGUACCUGUUUGGUGGGUAUAAAGCAGGAGGAUAGGUUAAAAGGAAAAAGCAUAUAAUAAGAAAUGAUGUGUUAACAGCUAGAAAAUGGAGCUUAGAAGAAAUUUUUAUAAGUGCUGUGUGGAGUAAUGCAAGUAUAUUACAGCAUUUUCAAUUGCUGUGAAACUGCACAGCUUUGCUCCAGCUUUCUGGUCGUCUGUGUCAAUCCCAGCAGCCAGCUGAUCUAUCAGCUCUAUCCCUCCUUGCCACUUGCCCUCAGUAAUUGCACUGGGCUGGACUCUUCAUGCAGUGCACUUGGUGGGAUGCAUUGCCUUGGCCUGUGAUUAGCCAGCAGUUGUUAUCUCUCACCAAGCCUGUGCUGUGAAAUUCUGUUGGCAUGAUACCAAGCAGCAGAGGAGAUGGUGGCAUUUCUAAGUGACAGAAUUACCAUAUCUUCUACAACUGCUAUUGAGAUCCUCCAUGAACAGAGAAAGAUGCACAGAACCAAUAGACAUUAAAAAUGCAGAGGAAUUGUAGUGUAUCUUCUCCAACUGGCCUCCUUUUAUCCCUUCCCUUUCUCCUUCCCCUUUCCCCCUUCCCUUCCCUUUUCAGUGCAGACCUUCCACUAAGAAUUCAGUCUUGGGGUGAGAUAAUUAGCUGCAACAAAGUUCAAAGGAGCACUUUCUGGGGAGUUACUGAGUUUUCUUUCUCCCUAUCUCUGAUAAAACAGAGAGAAAAUACAGAGAGAAAAGAAGAACAUUUCUCAAGGACAGUAGACUGAAACAUUAGUAUGUGGAAAAUACAGACUUACACAGCUACCAGAGAGCAGUAAGAGGGCAAGACAACUGCUAGUAGGGGAAUUACCCUGUAUUCCUCAGCAGUGCUUGUAAUCACCAUGUCUGAAGCCACUAACAGCCAGAUUUGUGUCCACCAGAACAAACUAUCCUGGAACAAAAAACUUUGAAAUGGAGUCAUAAGUUAGAUGAGCAUAUAUCCCUUUUCCUCCAUUUCCAGUUUGGAAUCUGGUAACAUCAGCUGGUAUUUCUGCCUGUGAGCAGCCCCAGGCUGUGUGACCUUAAUGGGGACCUUGGGGGCUGGCAGCCGGUGUGAGAAGAUGUGGAUGGAUUGGCUCUCUCCACAGAUGUGAUUCACAGAAGAUGGUGAAGGAGGAGCAGACAUUACCCAAAGACCCACUGAAGAGCUGAAAUCUGAGAAAUGCUGGUUGCUUGUCAAAUGAACAGAAGUAAUGCCACAGUGUUCUUAUUGUUUGUUUCUAACGAAAACCUCUGUUGAGAUGAAAUGGAUGCUCACUGCUUUGUGAUAGUAUUUGUGGCUGCUUUGUAUUUUCUGUCAGACACGCAGAAUGUCAAAAGUACAUUUUCACAACUGAGAAUCAUUAGGUUUUGACAGAACUAGUUUGCUUAAGGACAGUAAGGGCAGGUAACUGUCAUUGUGAUGGGCAGCUGAUUGUCUUCUCAUUGGAAGAAAUACAGUUUACUCAUCUCGAAGGGAGAAAAUUACGGCACUGGAUUUUCUUUCUUUCUAAAAGGCCCAAGGGAAACCCUGUGGGUGGUGGGAGCAUCGCAGCGCCUGUCACACCCUGUGCUGCCUCUCCCCUCCUCUCUGGCCUCAGCAUGACAGAAAACAUCUCACCGGAAAGAUCACCAUGUUUGGACUUUUGUUACAGCGAUUCAGCAAUCUAUUUGUUGCUGUCUUCUAAAAUGCCCUUCCUACACCAUGAUUUAAAAUACUGUGCUUUUUGCCUGGUUACCAGAAUUGCUAUGUUUUUCUGCAAGGCAAAGGUUUUCCAAGCCAGAUUAGGCCAACAAAGCACUGCUUUAUCUGCAUGCUUUGGUAAAAGACUGUAUGCUGAACAACUUACUGAGGGAGACAGCUUCUUCCAGAGGCCGGGUGCUGUGCCCUGAGGAGAAGGACACCAUUACUGGGUGGAAUAGGCUGCUCUCCUGCAGUGUACACUGUCUUUAAUGUGGCUUUACUUUGCUGAUGAGGGAAUCUAAUGAUUUAAUAUAACCUUCCACCACACAAAGCUAAUCAAAAUGAGGUCAGAAGACAAAAUUAGUCUUCUCAUGUUACUGAGAAGGAACAAAAAUAUCACUGACUUGCAUGACACAUGACCAAGCACUACAGAGAAAGACCUGUCAGUGUUUUCCUUUUUGCAGGAAAGAAAAAAAAAAAAGGCAACUUUGAGCACAUAUAAUUAUUUUCUAAAUCACCUUAGAACACGUCUUUAUUUUAAGAAAGGUAAUUUUAAGAAGCUCAGUGAUGUCGAGGUGAGAGGUAUUACUAGAAGUGCUGCAGCCAGGUGGGCGAAACAACAACUUCACUUUCAGCUCCCAGAUAAAGCAAUCAUCUGGGCUCACGCAUUUAUAGCAUACCACGUGUGCAGGAGCCUGGCACUUUGCAGAGAAGGAAGAUGUAACUUGGGUGCUUGGAUAGGCCUGGUGUCUGCUGUAGGAUCAACCCAGCACUGAUGGAGAUCCAUUUUAUCUAUCUUGUGAUAAAGGCAGUCUAAGGAUUGCAAAAGCACUGCUUUGUUGGCCUGUCUGAGCUACUGAAGGUGAACUCUCCAAGGCCCAGACUUCUUCACCAGCUGAAGUUUUAAUGGUCUUGCUUAAUACAGAAGCAACCAAUAUGAGCAUCAGCUGUGGGGCAAAUUUGUGGUCUCUAAAAUAGCCUGGUUCUACCUCCUGAGAGCACUCGUGUUGUGCUGCCCAAGUAACCUUCAGCUGCUGCACAGGAUCUCAGAGCUUGGAUUCUGUCCUUGGAGUGUUAAAGCUCGUCUUAUGUUUCAGCGGUACAAUGAAUAUGGAAUGUGGUAUUUGUCUUCAAAGCAUCAAAAAAUAUCUCGUUAUUCUGAGCUGGACAUCUCAUCAAAUGGCAGUGAAUGCAAAUGAUCAGGAUGCAUAAAUCUUCAGUGUUGAGGGAAGAAGACAAAGCUGGUAUGCAAUGGAAGGAUGAACCACUGGUCUCCAGAUAUCUUAAUGUCAUCUCCUCCCACUUGCUCUUUUAAGUGACUGAUCCACUUUCACAAUCUUUUUGAGCUUCUUCAGGAAAAUCAAUUUGGGAAGAAAUUCAUUCCACAUUCAGCAGCCAGGAGCUUGUGACAGUCACUGAGACAGUGACUCAAACACAGUGUUCAGAACCCUGGUAUCAGAUCAGCCUUUCCUGUAGUGAAGCUAUUGAUCAGGUUCUGAGGACCAAAUUGUCACAAGGAUGGAAUCCACGGGUUCCCAAUACCCUUCCCUCAUAGUGACAGUCUCAACAAUGAGAAACAGAGCAGCUACAUAAAUCAAGAAUAAAUUAGGAAUACUUAAUAAACAGCUUUCAACAGAUUUUUAGCAUAUCAAAGUUAGUUUACAAUGGAAACUUAUCUGUUCUGAUACAGCACUCGGCAAGGUUUGUUCCUCAGAAGACAUUUAUCCAACAGAAGUGUCAGAAAUUAGACAAUCCCAAAUGUCGCUUUUUCAUGGCUGUUGUUACCCACCAAAGCCAUUCACUUUUACAGGCAGUCCCAUGAGUAAAGGGAAAUUUUGUUCCAAACAAGAAAUAACCACAGGCUUAUGCUUUAUAAAUAAUUGCAAUACCCAUUCUUUCUCUUUCCCUCAAAGGCAUGUAGGACUGAUAGACGUUCGUCCACAUAGCAGAACAUCAGAAGUAAUUACAAAACAUAAAUGAGGCUUAUCCAUUCAUCUCAGCUACUCUGUCAGAUUGUGUAGACAGCAGGCAUUUUAUCACACCUUACACGAUUAAGUUUUGUAAUAGCUUAUUUUCUUCAUGCACUACAACACCUUCAUGCACUUAAGCUAUAAUGAAGCUCCGUGGAUUCCUCUUUGAGAAUCACUUCUAAAGUACAACUCUUCAGCUUUUCUUACCAAACAAAAACAAAAAAAAAGAGGAUGCCAUGAGAAAGGAAGAGGAUUGUAUAAUUAUAGGCAAGCUGCCCUCUUAACAGGAACUAAGCAUGACUACACUGAAUAGGGCUCAGUGACCAUAAAGCAACAGGUGUUCAUAGUGUUUUGGCUCCUCAGACUUGGUGCUCUAGAGCAGAAAUUAAUGAAUUGAUUUCAGAGGGGGGUCAUAACAUCUAAUAGUGCAACUGUGGGUCUCACCAGCUCGAGCACACACAAAGCCCUCUAAAAAUCACUACACUGCUUCUACAACCAAGUUGAACACCUACAUAUAUGCUUUUCAGCAAGAAACGCAAAUCAAUUUUUGUUACUUUGUCCAAGACAGCAAAUCUAGUUGGCAUACAAAGAGCUUUAGUUCUGGUUGUAAGGAAUAUUUCUGUUUUCAUUGAUUCUGGGACAGAUAAAAGACAGGAGCAAAAGAAAUCUGCCUCCAGAGUUUCAGAAGAUUCUUGAGAUUGCCAAGUUUAAUGAUAUUUCUCAAAACUUCACCAGGCUACUUUGAAACCCUUUCACUCAGAAUUAUCUGUAGGUUACUGUUGGUUAUACAUUAGUUUCAUUAGUUACUUUACAAAUCCUUAACUUUCACAAUCUUUAUACUUACUGACAUAUCCAUAGCAAAAUCUUUUAGCUAUCUUCUACCUUUUCCUAGUAGUGAAAAUUUUCCUUUCUAUUUUUUUUUCUUUGUAUGACUUUUUUUUUCUUUGAAAGAGC